rnacentral:rRNA from 1 species
AUACGAAGGGGGCUAGCGUUGUUCGGAAUUACUGGGCGUAAAGCGCAUGUAGGCGGACAUUUAAGUCAGGGGUGAAAUCCCGGGGCUCAACCUCGGAACUGCCUUUGAUACUGGGUGUCUAGAGUGUGGAAGAGGUAAGUGGAAUUCCGAGUGUAGAGGUGAAAUUCGUAGAUAUUAGGAGGAACACCAGUGGCGAAGGCGGCUUUCUGGACUGACACUGACGCUGAGGCACGAAAGCGUGGGGAGC